GACACUGGGUUCCCACCCAGUACCACAUGAGCGACCAAUCCAUCUACCCAGGGGCACGUCCCGGAAGAGCCUCACUGAGGAGGGAAGAAGUAUGGGUGUCGUUUGUAGUUUCCUGUGCGUUAAGGAAAAUCUGGUGGUGAAAAAUCUGACUGGCAACAUGGGAUCUCCAUUAUUUCUUUGCCUGCUGAGAUUCCUGGGAGUGUUGAGGGGAAAAACAACCGCAGGCCCUCGGGUGUGAGCUUUAGAAAACAACAGAAAUGUAUUGCUUCUGCUGCUUCUCUAAUUUCUACUGGCAAACAAUAACAGCCUUUCAACCACCGCCGUCGACCGAGCGCACACUGCGCCUGAAGUCCCAGGGUACACAGCUUUUGGAGAAUGGGGACUUACUGUCUCUCGCACCCUGCGCCCACUCCCGUGGAAGAAGACAGCCUGCACCACACCAUCUUGCCUUUCAGGCUAGCUCCAUGUCCUGUUCCCGUGACUCUCACCCUGGUGUGGCCUGCACUCCAGUCAAGGCAAGUCCCGACUGACAGAGAAAAUCCCUGCUCACCAGCCUUGACCUGGGGAGAGAGUCCCUGGCCUCUGAGCAGACAGAGGGCCUGGUGGUCAGCCCGUGGGAGCCCUGGAAUGUGCACUACUGGGACGGCUCAGAAAAACCGGGAAGCCAAGACUUGUCAGGCCUGGAGUACUAAAGCAUGCCUGCUGAACUGUGGCCCACUCUGAGGAAAGGGAGGGGCCUCAGGGAAAGCUGGUGGGUGGGGUUCUGGCUGGGAGUCCUCUGGAGUCCGGCUUAUAGACCGGGAUGAGGCAGGGCUGCUACGUCUGAUUCUUAAGUGCCUCAGGUAAACAGAGUCUCCCUUGCUUUGCCAAGAGGAAUGCAAAAGCUAUCAAAAUUGUAAAAGUCUGUGCCCUUUGAUGGAGCAAUCUCACUUGUAAGACUCUCCUCCACGGAGAAGUGCGCACGUCAUUUCAAGUGGGGUCUAUAAAGAUAGUAACAGACUUAAAACAAAUGGCUCUGGGCUUUAAACGUGUUGGGCAUCUGGACAACCAACAGUCUGUCUUUAAAUAACCUGCACGUGGAAGGCAGUGGGGGCAGGUCCAAACGUAUUAAGUUUAAAACAAUAAAAAACAGGACUGUGCGCCACACGGCCCUGGGUGACGUAAGAUUGCAUGGGCGCAUGCCAUCCGGAAAGGGGAAUGCUGGUUCUCUCUGGUGAGGGGGCGGGGCGGGGCUCACGCUUCAGAACAGCCUGCAUCUCUUCUAAUCUGUACUGAGUGUGUGUCUCUAUCUCUGUUAAAAACGUAAAGGGAAGAUUCCACCGCUGACCGGAUGCUCACAAAGGUUAAGGACUAACGUCAACCAUGAUUGAGGAGAGGGCGAACUCCUUAGAACACAAAACCCCAAACAACCAAAAAUGUCGUAGUCGCUGGGGCUGGGCAUGAGCUGCAAACAGAGGCUAGACACUGGAAUGACUGUCUCAGUGUGAACAGCCAAUCAGGCGAGCGGUGGGCUCACACGCCCUCCGCCUGACUCUAAAGACAGCAGCCCUCGUCUUGGCACAGCUUCCUUCGCCCACUGUGGACCGAGAGCUGCACUUGCUGUGUUUCCAGCUCUUGUGUUUGGACUCUUCUCUGUUCUCGAGUGUCUCACUGUAUUCGGGGCUGCCCUAUAACUUCCUAGACCUGGCUGACCUCAAUGUAGGCCUCUGCCUCCUGAGUGCUGGUUAAAAUUAUGUUUUAUGUGUGAGUGAGUGUUUUUCCACAUAAUUGUCUGUGCCUGGCACCCUCGGGGGUCAGAAGAAGACACUGGAUCCUCUAGAGUUACAGAUAGGGUAAGCCAACAUGGAGAUGCUGGGAGCUGACCCGGGUCCUCUACAAGAGCAGCAGCCUCUUAGUCUCUCCAGCCCUCUUCAUUCUCCUCAGCUCUGUCGGUUUCUUCAUUGCUCUCAGCCUCUGGCUUUCCUUUCCCCCUCCUAGGUCUGAGGUGGACAUCCUCUGCCCUCCCCCAACACACAGGAUUGGGUUUGCAGACAAGAUCUUAUCCUACAGUCAGAAGCCUUGACACUCCACAGACAACAUGUGCCCCGGUCUCCCUUUCACAGAAUUAUUCAAGAUCCCUUCUCCAGCCUUUCUCUGCACACUGCUCAGCCAGGAUCCCUGAGCUGCAUCAACUUUGCUCAGAUCUCUCCUCAACACCCACUUCCUACAGCAGCACAUCAAAGCUCACUCUCCAGAGCCUCAGAAUGGAAGCCAUUAGUCUUCACAGCACCUGUAUGACCUCACCAGGGCCUCUGUCCCCUCUGUCACACAGGCCUCCCUUCUUGCACUUCCACCAGAUAGCGUCCUACCCCUUCCUGUUUGCGAAGCAAGACUGUCUCAGGACACAAGUGACCCAACCUAAUGCCAUGCACUAGUUGUGGUUGUAUUUUGAGGCAUGACCAGUGCAGAGCUGGUCCACACUCGGCAAGACAUCGGCUUUGGGACAGGUUUUCUAGAUGCCGUCUCCUGCCAGGUAGUAGGAGUGUCACCUGAACCUCGUGUAUGGGGACUGUAGCUGUCUAUGAGAGGACUCCCACCACACUGAGCUCACAUUAGCUCAUCUGGACUUGGCCCACAGGCAGGAAGCAUCCUGCCAUUCCUUAAUGAGACACAUAAAGGAGCUUUUCCAGAGCCACACAAGAGCUUGGUGAAGGCAGGUCUACCUCUGGAUUCCGAGCGAUUGCCACAAGCAAUUGAGUUCCAGGGCUCGCAAGUUCUUCCUAAAAGGGGCCAAACAGCAUAUCCUUUCUGCUUUAUGGGUCAUAUGUUGUCUCUUUCUUGUAUUUCACUGUGUGGUACAUGCCCAGAUGGGUACACAUUUGUAUGCACGUGCUUGCACAUGUGCCUAUGUGUGUGUCUGUGUGAGAGAAUGUGUCUGAGUAUGAGUGUGUAUGUGAGUGAGUGUGAGAGUAUUGUAUGUGUGAGUAUGUUGUGUAUAUAGGUAUGUGUGUAUAUAGGUGUGUGUAUGAGUGUGUAUGUAUGUGAGUGAGUGUGUGAGAGUAUGUGUAUGUGUGAGUAUGUGUGUGUAUAUAGGUAUGUGUGUAUAUAGGUAGGUGUGCGUGUGUGUGUGUGUGUGUGUGUGUGUGUGUGUGUGUGUGUGUGCACCCACAGAGGACAGAGAAGCUGCUUUUACUUUAUCCCUGAGCCAGGGUCUCUCCCUGACCCUAGCCUGACUCACAGGUGAGGUCCUAGGAUCCGCCUGCCCCUGCCCCCCAGCACUGGGCCACAGGUGUGCACAGUUGUACACGUCCUUUCCAUGUGCACUGGGGAUUUGAGCUCAGGUCCUCAUGUUGUCGCAGUAAGUGCCCUUACCCCCUGAACCAUCUCUCAACGCCUUACUCCUUCCUUCUUUUCUUCCUUUCUUUUUUAGGCAGCCCUUUAACUACAUAAAGAUAGGGGCUGGAGAGAGACGGCUCAAUGGUUAAGAAUGUCUCCUGCCUUCCCGUGGACCUGCAUUCUGCUCCCAGCACCCACAUUGGAUGGCUGUAAUUGCAGCUCCAGAGGGAUCUGCUACCUCUGGCCACCACAGGCAACCACACUCACAUGUAUACUACACACACACACACACACACACACACACACACACACACUCUUAAACACACUUAAAAAAUCACUAAAAACCAAAACAUUUAAAUUAACAUAAAAAUAAUUCUUUGCACUAGGCUAAGAAGAGAGAGACACCUCUAGGCUACCCUUGGCCCAAGGGCUACAGGUUACCAAGUACUCCAAAAGGUUAUGCAGAUGUGGCAAAUAGUAAGCCAGAUAACAUGGGUCUGGUUAAGAAGGGUUGCCCUCUUUGACCUAUCUUUCGUUAAUCUUCACUGAAUGGUGGUUAUUCCUGAAACACAAUAACUCAUUUAAUUCUCACUGUGACCUGAGUUGACGGGUACUGCUGUUGGUUCUGUUGUAUAAUGGAGAAACUGAGGUACAGGGAGGCUAAAGAAUUUUCUCAAGGUCCUAUGGCCAGUAGCAGUUCAGCCCUAGAACCUGUGGGAUGAACAGCCUGCGCGGAGGCUGUUUAUCUGGGUGGGCAGGCAGCCAACAAGGAUUCUGAACUUUCACCUUGACCUGAAGGGGCGUGGACACACCUCUCCAAUGGACACACCCCUCCAAUGGACACACCCCUCCAGCGCUCUGUAAAGCUGCAAGGAGGCAGCCAGUGUUUCCUUCCCUCAAGCAGUCACAAAGGAGGGUGCCAGCAGACUGCAGAGGCAUCUUGAUUUGAAAAAAAAAAAAAAAAAAAAAAAGCACUUGAUUGGAUCUCCUUAAUUUUUAAUCACAAACUGAAUUCAAAAUAAAUUGAAACCUGGUUGACAGAGCACCAAGGACGAUGAUAAAUGGCGAUGGUGCCCGAAAGGGGAUCGCUUCCAGGAGAUGUCUCUGAGGCAAAGACUGGUGGGUUGUGUCCCUGGAAGAAGAGUAACAGUACAGCCAGGAGGAGGGCAGGAGUGAGCAGCCCACAUAAUUAAUACGAGGCACAACAGUUCCCAAGUAAUCAAGACAAGCUGAUCACCAGCCGAUUGGAUUUGUGGAUUGUAUUUUGAGAUGGAUUCAUGGAUCCUGGCGUUGAAAUCCUGAUCCUCCUGCCUCCACCUCCUACAUGCCAAGAUUAUAGGCACGUGCCACUAUAUAGGCUGAAUUUUUUUAAAAAAAAAUGUGUCUGCGUGUUUGUUGGUAUGGGGUACGGUGUGAUGUGCACUCACUCGAUCCAUAUCGUGUCCUCCACAACUGCAGGUCCGUACAUGUAGAGGACAGAGUUCCGUGCUGUAUUUCUACGAUCCACCUUAUAUACUGAGGCAAGGUGUCUCCCACCUCAAUGUUGUGGGUAGCCAUUUUGCUCUUCAGCUUCCCUGGCUCUGUCUCCCAAACACUGGAGAUUCCAGGAGGGCUGCCACACAUGCUUGGCUCUUGGGUGGAUUCUGUGGGUCUGAACUCCAGCUCAAAACUUGGGCAACAAGCAAUCUACCCCACAGAGACAUCUCCCUAGUCCUGAAUUUUUUUUCUUUUUCUUUCUUUCUUUUUAUUUUUAGAACUGGGGACCGAACCCAGGGCCUCAAGCGCUCUACCGCUGAGCUAAAUCCUCAACCCCGUCCUGACGUUCUUUUAAAAAACAAAAA